GUUUGUAGUGUAGUGGUGAUCACGCCGGAUUUUGACGCACAGUACAAAUCUUCCGGUGACCCCGGUUCGAAUCCGGGCAAGACCU